AUCAGAGCCAAAGACGCACCUCAAAAACCUCUCAGCUGUUUCCCCCCCGCUCCUGCCAACAUGACUCACUUUUACCCCCCCACACCGCCGCCGCCGCCGCCGCCUCACCUCGUUGGCUCUCUAAGAUUUCCUUCGUCGUUUCGUUCGACUCUUUUACAAACUCUCUCUCUCUCCUCUCUUUCUUGCUCAGCUCUUUUUCUCUCGUCUUCCUCUCAUUUCCUCUCUUAUCCCGUUAUCUCUCUCCCGGCUCAUGUUCCCUCUCUCUCUCUCUCUCUCUCUCUCUCUGUGUCUCUCUCUCUCUCUCUCUCUCUACUGUAUUCUGUUUCUCCACAUCAAGCUGAUUGCUUUCUGUCAGCCCGGACCGCUGUAGGGGUCCCAGAGGGGGCCCGGUCCCUCACAUCUAAACAUCUGUCCAUCCCAUUACCGUCGGCGCGGCCGAACCUGAGCCCCCUUUACUCACGCUGACAGCAACACUGGCGAGAAACAGGGAAUGAUAUCCAAGGAAACGCCGGGUUCCCGGGUGUCUCCUCAAAGCUCCUGAUUAUGUGAGCCAGCUGGUCGAGAGACGCCAGGAGUCGCCAGGCGGCGUUUGGCGGGGGUAUAUGAUCGGGCCCCGGAUGUUUUCAGAGUAUGGGUAUGGUUAGGAGCGUGGACGGGGAUCAGCGUGAGGAUGGGAAAGCAUGGCCCUGCGUCGGGCGUCAGUCGCCGUGGUCGUUUGGUUGGAAUGUGACUCAGGAAACUCAUAAUGGGUCUGACUGUAUGUGGAGGAGCGCUGUCUGUUCGCGCUGAGAGGUACAGAGGAAACGGAUACGACCAGGGGUGGUGGAGCUGAUGAUGAUGAUGAUGAUGAUGAUGAUGAUGAUGAGGAUAAAGAUGGGGGGGGUCCUAAAAUGAGCGUAUGAAAGGGAACAGACUUCGUGACUGAGGGGUUCUGGUCUCUGUUUGUGGUCGUUUCUGUCUGAGUGUCCAGAGCGGAUCGAGAACAUCAGUCAGUUUGUUAAAGGGAUAUUCCGGCGUAAAAUUCAUUCAACCAACCAAAAGGCGACAGGGUCAAUAAGCAGCAACUGUUCUGUAAGAGCAAAGUCCAGUUUUAAGGUGAGAAAAUCACUUUUUUGGGUUAAUGAAAUAGUUCUUUAUCCGCCUCAGCCACCAUCUUGCACAGGAGUCCAACUCACCUACUCUCUUCCAGCAGACGCUUGUUUGUAGAGAGACCUCAGGCCAGUCCAUUACGGACUACAGCGGGGUGCCGCAGCUCAAGGAAGAACAUUUAUGAUCAUUUCUUCAUGGAAAUACAAUCAGACCGAGACGCUAAGACAGAAGAACUACCGCGUCUGUAAAAUGAUUAAUAUGGUGAUUAUUACUUCAAGGAAAUGAUAAAGAAAUGAUCAUAAAUGUUCUUCCUUGAGCUGCGUCACCCCACAGUAGUCCUUAAUGGACUGGAAGAGAGUAGGUGAGUUGUGUUUAGUCUCUUUGCUAAAGAAAUGAGUCAAAGUUAAAAAGAUGUUUGGUGUCUAGUACUAUGGCUGUGACCCUAUAUGUACUAACCUCAGUAGAACAUGGUGUAGUUCCGUUCAGUAACAGAACCUCAUUGGAAAAUUAUCUGAUUUAACUUCACUGUGCUCUUGUUCAAAUAUAUUAACUCGACAGCACAUAAAUCCAUACCUGUUAACAAAAUCAUGAUUUUAUUGAUAAUUCGGCUCAAUAAAAACACCUUUAACUUUUCAUUUUACUACAGUAGGGGGGGUCUAACUCGGUGUAAAUUUUACGCCAGAAUAUCUCUUUAACAUGCUCAGUAAUCAUGCACAGACAAAAUGAAAUCUACUGAAGUGAGAAUCUAGUGUAAACAUAAUCCAACAACCAAGAGCUUUAGCCUCUUCUAGCUUCAAAAAGAGACGAUGAACAAACUCCUCAUGAUCUGUUUUUCUUUCUGGCCUGUUUUUAAAUCUUUAGUCGUCUGACCCUGUGAACUGAGCGUGUGCAGGAGGCCCGAUCAAAGCUGAAGACGGUCGUGGUCAUGUGGUAAAUCUCUGAGGCGUGAGGAUCCAGCAGCAGAGAUGUCAGUGAUGGAGGACGAGGCGCCUCCGCUGAGCAGGAACAGUCGAUCCAAACUCCAGGUCCAGACUGGAAUCAAGGAGCGAUGAAACCAUCCAUCAAGAUCAGCCGCAGUCACCAAACCAGAACCUUUUCCUGAAUCAUCACUCAGAACCGGGCUGGUUUUGGCGUGUCUGUGUACUUCAUCACGGCGUGUUUGACUAAUUUCUGUUUCCCUGAUUUGUCAGCGUCAGUCAGAGCAGGUAAGACCAGAUCAGGAUCUACGCGGAUCUGACCUUCAGGUGGACUCGACAUGAUCCUCCGGGAGCGGGGCGCGACUUUGACCUCAGAUAAGAGCGACAGGUAAACACACACACACACACACACACACACACACACACACACACACACACACACACACACACACACACACACACACGGUGCCCUUUCACCUUGAUUGUAGCGUGCUGAGUAAUGAGGGGUCAUUUGCUUCAGUUAAAUAUGUUUAGGUUUUGUGUGUGUUUGUGUGUGUGUGUGUGUGUGUAGGGGGGGUUAUGACCAGAGGCAGAACCACAUGCUGACACACAAAGGGGUAUGUAUAUACACACACACACACACACACACGUUCAUAUAAAUAGUCGUUUUCGCUUUAAUCCACAAACACGAACAGAGACGCACGCACGCGUUCAAAUCUGCAGAUACUCCUCGCGGACGCCAUCACACUCGCCCCCCCCGCCUGCACACACACACACUACGCACUUGUCUUGUGUAAGUGAGAUGUCUUCUGUUUCAACAAUGUGUGCAGUGUGUGCCGACCGCCUUUUCUUCCCUUGGCAGAGUUACCCAAUCCCCCUGACACGCAUUCUGCAUGGAUGACGGCGAGCUCUUCUCAUGACGCCGCCGGAGCCACCCGUUUAGUUCCGCCUCAGCUCUGUACACGCACAGUUCAUGGGGUCAGAGGGCCCAGGGGGUCUGCUCGCCCGGGUGGGACUGACAGUGAGCGUGGAGGGUUAUGAAAAAGCGUCGAGCGUGGAGUUUGUGAUGGAAAUCUUUGAAGCGCGUCUUUCUUUCAGAGAUAUGAGGUCUGACCUUACCACCUACAGGACGGGGUCCCGCUACAGUCUGCUACAGUCCCGCUACAGUCCCAGUACAGUGUGAAAUUUGACUGACCCUGGACCUCGUCUCUGAAAAGCAGGGAUUCAAACCCACAACCCCUGCGCUGACC